CUUGUAAACUUAGUGGCGGACGGGUGAGUAACACGUGAGCAACCUGCCUAUCAGAGGGGAACAACAGUUAGAAAUGACUGCUAAUACCGCAUAACAUAUAGAUGUCGCAUGGCAUUUAUAUCAAAGAUUUAUCGCUGAAAGAUGGCCUCGCGUCUGAUUAGCUAGUUGGUGAGGUAACGGCCCACCAAGACGAUGAUCAGUAGCCGGACUGAGAGGUUGAACGGCCACAUUGGGACUGAGAUACGGCCCAGACUCC
rnacentral:rRNA from 1 species